rnacentral:rRNA from 1 species
CGGCCCUUCCGGAGAAGGAGCCUGAGAAACGGCUACCACAUCCAAGGAAGGCAGCAGGCGCGCAGAUUACCCAAUCCCGACACGGGGAGGUAGUGACAAUAAAUACUGAUACGGGGCUCUUUUGGGUCUCGUAAUUGGAAUGAGUACAAUCUAAAUCCCUUAACGAGGAACAAUUGGAGGGCAAGUCUGGUGCCAGCAGCCGCGGUAAUUCCAGCUCCAAUAGCGUAUAUUAAAGUUGUUGCAGUUAAAAAGCUCGUAGUUGAACCUUGGGUCUGGCUGGCCGGUCCGCCUCACCGCGAGUACUGGUUCGGCUGGACCUUUCCUUCUGGGGAACCUCAUGGCCUUCACUGGCUGUGGGGGGAACCAGGACUUUUACUGUGAAAAAAUUAGAGUGUUCAAAGCAGGCCUUUGCUCGAAUACAUUAGCAUGGAAUAAUAGAAUAGGACGUGCGGUUCUAUUUUGUUGGUUUCUAGGACCGCCGUAAUGAUUAAUAGGGAUAGUCGGGGGCGUCAGUAUUCAGUAGUCAGAGGUGAAAUUCUUGGAUUUACUGAAGACUAACUACUGCGAAAGCAUUCGCCAAGGAUGUUUUCAUUAAUCAGGGAACGAAAGUUAGGGGAUCGAAGACGAUCAGAUACCGUCGUAGUCUUAACCAUAAACUAUGCCGACUAGGGAUCGGGCGGUGUUUCUAUAAUGACCCGCUCGGUACCUUACGAGAAAUCAAAGUUUUUGGGUUCUGGGGGGAGUAUGGUCGCAAGGCUGAAACUUAAAGAAAUUGACGGAAGGGCACCACAAGGCGUGGAGCCUGCGGCUUAAUUUGACUCAACACGGGGAAACUCACCAGGUCCAGACAAAAUAAGGAUUGACAGAUUGAGAGCUCUUUCUUGAUCUUUUGGAUGGUGGUGCAUGGCCGUUCUUAGUUGGUGGAGUGAUUUGUCUGCUUAAUUGCGAUAACGAACGAGACCUCGGCCCUUAAAUAGCCCGGUCCGCAUUUGCGGGCCGCUGGCUUCUUAGGGGACUAUCGGCUCAAGCCGAUGGAGUGCGCGGCAAUAACAGUUCUGUGAUGCCCUUUAGAUGUUUCUGGGCCGCCACGCCGCGCUACACUGAACAGUCAGCGAGUACAUCACUUGAUGGACAGUCAGUAUCUGGUAGCCUGUCCUGCUGGGAUUGAGCCAUGCAUUAUUGCUCUUCACAGAUGCUAGUAGCCGAGUCAUCAGUCGGUGCCGAUUACGUCCUGACCUUGUUUAAC